rnacentral:rRNA from 1 species
GACGAACGCUGGCGGCGUGCUUAACACAUGCAAGUCGAACGGAAAGGCCCUGCUUUUGUUGGGUGCUCGAGUGGCGAACGGGUGUGUAACACGUGAGUAACCUGCCCUUGACUUUGGGAUAACUUCAGGAAACUGGGGCUAAUACCGGAUAGGAGCUCCUGCUGCAUGGUGGGGGUUGGAAAGUUUCGGCGGUUGGGGAUGGACUCGCGGCUUAUCAGCUUGUUGGUGGGGUAGUGGCUUACCAAGGCUUUGACGGGUAGCCGGCCUGAGAGGGUGACCGGCCACAUUGGGACUGAGAUACGGCCCAGACUCCUACGGGAGGCAGCAGUGGGGAAUAUUGCACAAUGGGCGGAAGCCUGAUGCAGCAACGCCGCGUGCGGGAUGACGGCCUUCGGGUUGUAAACCGCUUUCGCCUGUGACGAAGCGUGAGUGACGGUAAUGGGUAAAGAAGCACCGGCUAACUACGUG